rnacentral:rRNA from 1 species
GACAGAGGAUGCAAGCGUUAUCCGGAAUGAUUGGGCGUAAAGCGUCUGUAGGUGGCUUUUUAAGUCCGCCGUCAAAUCCCAGGGCUCAACCCUGGACAGGCGGUGGAAACUACCAAGCUGGAGUACGGUAGGGGCAGAGGGAAUUCCCGGUGUAGCGGUGAAAUGCGCAGAUAUCGGGAAGAACACCCGUGGCGAAGGCGGCUCUCUGGGACGGUACUGACGCUGAGACGCGAAAGCGUGGGGAGCGAACAGG